UACGUAGGGUGCAAGCGUUAAUCGGAAUUACUGGGCGUAAAGCGUGCGCAGGCGGCUAUGCAAGACAGAUGUGAAAUCCCCGGGCUCAACCUGGGAACCGCAUUUGUGACUGCAUGGCUAGAGUACGGUAGAGGGGGAUGGAAUUCCGCGUGUAGCAGUGAAAUGCGUAGAUAUGCGGAGGAACACCGAUGGCGAAGGCAAUCCCCUGGACCUGUACUGACGCUCAUGCACGAAAGCGUGGGGAGCAAACAGG
rnacentral:rRNA from 1 species